rnacentral:rRNA from 1 species
CCUACGGGUGGCAGCAGUGAGGAAUAUUGGUCAAUGGGAGAGAUCCUGAACUAGCCAAGUCGCGUGCAGGAAGACGGCCCUAUGAGUUGUAAACUGCUUUUGUAUGGGAAUAAACGCAGAUACGUGUACCUCUUUGAAUGUAUCUUAUGAAUAAGGAUCGGCUAACUCCGUGCCAGCAGCCGCGGUAAUACGGAGGAUUCAAGCGUUAUCCGGAUUUAUUGGGUUUAAAGGGUGCGUAGGCGGGCGGAUAAGUCAGAGGUGAAAGCUCGCGGCUCAACUUCGGAAUUGCAGUUGAUACUGUUCGGCUAGAGAGUAGUUGCGGUAGGCGGAAUGUAUGGUGUAGCGGUGAAAUGCUUAGAGAUCAUGCAGAACACCGAUUGCGAAGGCAGCUUGCCGGGCUGCUACUGACGUUGAGGCACGAAAGCGUGGGUAGCAAACAGGAUUAGAUACCCGAGUAGUC